GACGAACGCUGGCGGCGUGCUUAACACAUGCAAGUCGAGCAGUAAGGCUCCUUCGGGAGUACACGAGCGGCGAACGGGUGAGUAACACGUGAGUAAUCUGCCCCGCACUUCGGGAUAAGCGCCGGAAACGGCGUCUAAUACCGAAUACGACCAGCCUUCGCAUGAGGUGCUGGUGGAAAGUCUUAUCGGUGCGGGAUGUGCUCGCGGCCUAUCAGCUGGUUGGUGAGGUAACGGCUCACCAAGGCUUCGACGGGUAGCCGGCCUGAGAGGGUGACCGGCCACACUGGGACUGAGACACGGCCCAGACUCCUACGGGAGGCAGCAGUGGGGAAUAUUGGACAAUGGGCGAAAGCCUGAUCCAGCAACGCCGCGUGAGGGAUGACGGCCUUCGGGUUGUAAACCUCUUUCAGUAUCGACGAAGCGCCUUUAACGGUGGUGACGGUAGAUACAGAAGAAGGACCGGCCAACUACGUGCCAGCAGCCGCCGUAA
rnacentral:rRNA from 1 species